rnacentral:rRNA from 1 species
GACGAACGCUGGCGGCGUGCUUAACACAUGCAAGUCGAACGGUAAGGCCCCUUCGGGGGUACACGAGUGGCGAACGGGUGAGUAACACGUGAGGAACCUGCCCUUGACUCUGGGAUAACAGUGGGAAACUUCUGCUAAUACCGGAUAUUCAGAUUCUGCCGCAUGGUGGGGUUUGGAAAGCUUUUGUGGUCAAGGAUGGUCUCGCGGCCUAUCAGCUUGUUGGUGAGGUAAUUGCUUACCAAGGGUUCGACGGGUAGCCGGCCUGAGAGGGCGACCGGCCACAUUGUGACUGAGAUACGGCCCAGACUCCUACGGGAGGCAGCAGUGGGGAAUAUUGCACAAUGGGCGAAAGCCUGAUGCAGCAACGCCGCGUGCGGGAUGACGGCCUUCGGGUUGUAAACCGCUUUCAGUAGGGACGAAGCGCAAGUGACGGUACCUACAGAAGAAGCACCGGCUAACUACGUGCCAGCCGCCGCCGUAA